rnacentral:rRNA from 1 species
ACCUACCUAUAAGACUGGGAUAACUUCGGGAAACCGGAGCUAAUACCGGAUAAUAUUUCGAACCGCAUGGUUCGAUAGUGAAAGAUGGUUUUGCUAUCACUUAUAGAUGGACCCGCGCCGUAUUAGCUAGUUGGUAAGGUAACGGCUUACCAAGGCGACGAUACGUAGCCGACCUGAGAGGGUGAUCGGCCACACUGGAACUGAGACACGGUCCAGACUCCUACGGGAGGCAGCAGCC